rnacentral:lncRNA from 1 species
UGUGAAAUACGGAUGGUACAAUUCAGUACUAUUCUAAUUAAAAAACAUAUUAUAGAUUAAUAUGCUAACUAAAUUAAAAACAUUGAUUUUGAAAUAUAUAAUGCAUUCGAAAUACGAAAAAACUCGUCCAAACCUCUCUUUCCCAACAAACAAACUACAACGAAAUGGAAAUAAACUUUUUUUCUUCACUUUGCCAACACUCCUCAAAGGCUGAGUUCCGACGCCUACGUUAGUAGAGGUACUGGGAGAUGCGCCUUUAAAGGGAUAAAGUGCGGUGUAGUCUGUAGAAGAACCUUCCGACAACAACAAUGGAGGUGAGAUAUAUCCAUAAUAUGGGGUGUAGAUUUACACACUUAGGAAUGAUAAAGAGUUCGAUCACACAGAUAAUGUCUAAUCUAAUCAUAA